rnacentral:rRNA from 1 species
GACGAACUGUCCAAACGUUGUUCGGAAUCACUGGGCUUAAAGGGCGCGUAGGCGGUCGAUCAAGUCAGGGGUGAAAUCCUGCAGCUUAACUGUAGAAGUGCCUUUGAUACUGGUCGUCUCGAGGGAGGUAGGGGUGUGUGGAACUUCCAGUGGAGCGGUGAAAUGCGUUGAUAUUGGAAGGAACGCCGGAGGCGAAAGCGACGCACUGGACCUUUUCUGACGCUGAGGCGCGAAAGCUAGGGGAGCAAACGGGG